UACAGAGGGUGCGAGCGUUAAUCGGAAUUACUGGGCGUAAAGCGUGCGUAGACGGCUAUCUAAGUCGGGUGUGAAAGCCCCGGGCUCAACCUGGGAAUUGCAUUCGAGACUGAAUAGCUAGGGUACGGUAGAGGGAAGUGGAAUUUCCGGUGUAGCGGUGAAAUGCGUAGAUAUCGGAAGGAACAUCAGUGGCGAAGGCGGCUCUCUGGGACGGUACUGACGCUGAGACGCGAAAGCGUGGGGAGCGAACAGG
rnacentral:rRNA from 1 species